rnacentral:lncRNA from 1 species
CUGGUGACAUAUGUUUACCGUGUGGCUUAUCAUUUACCUUUCAAUUAACUCGGCUUUUGUUCCAGAUAUUUUUGCUCCGAUAUCUUUUAAUUGUUUCUUAAGCUCAGGAACAGUCAACUCGCUAAAAUCCAUAAUGAAUCAGCUUAAGUAGAUAGGGAAAAAAGGCAAACGCAAGCUGACAGCGAAAUGCUAGGCAACAGCUGAAUGUUAAGCCCAAGCAGUACCAAACACGUAGGUGGCGCCGCGAGUGGAGAAAUUUUGCAGGUACGAUGGUCUAUCGGCGUGUUAAACAAAACAUCAUAAAUUACCGUUCUAAAGAAAAAUUUCCCCGAUUCAGUAGUCAUUCGAUCAUAUUUGACAGUGAAGAUACUUCCCCUCGAUCCGGUCUUAAUCUCUAUUGUUUUUCUGUUUGUCUUCAAUACUUUACUGAAGUGGUUGUCAAUUGUUUUUGCAGUUAAAUUCAUAUUAUCUAAUGAUUGAAUCCGUUAAUUCGGUGUAUUAUUGUUCCGUCAAACUAAUUUUCUUAAAUAUAUGGGCUUCUUACAAACAAUUUUUAGUUGUCACCAUCUUCGCUUCAAUUUUUGUCUAACAAAGUUGAAAUUUUUGAUGAACAGGUAACGAAGGCUAGUUCUAUAGUCCAACCAACAGCAAAGGCUAACUUUGUCCAGACUAGAUGAUGAUGAUGAUUUCAAAGCGAAAUUAGUUCCAAUCAAAAAUUAAUUAAAAAUGGAACUAGCUAUGUUUUAAAAAGCAUAUUGUAAGUAAAAAAAAUGACAGAUUACUGUAUCAUCCGUAUGGAGAUAAGAUAAAUAAAUAAUGGAAACCAACCGCCAAUCAGCUUAUUAAUAAUUUUUGUAAUCAUCGAUUUCUGUAAUUGAAGUCACUUUCACCGAUGCAAAUUAAAGACUGUUAUUCCGAAUAAGUUUAUUCUAUUGUGAAUCUAGUUUUAGGCAUAGGAGCGAUGUUUCUUCAUUGUUUUUUACCUUCUUUGAUGUCAUUAAAAUGUUUUUGGGUAAAACCCAGCGGGUGGUCAGGAAGAAUUCUCUCUUUUACUGUUUAAAUUCAAAGGGAAGAGUCGAAUAUAGUCUGGCAAAGAAUGGAAGAUGGCGCCAUCGUUCGUCCUACGCGUGGCUGGUAUGGGAACUAUCAAAUGCCGAAAGAACGAAUUGGAAUUUGUUUCCUCAACCUGUCAAACUGUUUUUCCAGUCGGACAGCCUUCCGUGUGGGCGUAUGGCCUUUCGCUACAGGACAGAGAGACAAUUUAUUGUCGCCGUUGCACACGGUCGAUAAGAUCGUCUCUCGUCACGUCCUUCCUCGGCUGACGUAUAUUGUGUGUGUCGACUGUCGCUGGCUACUUCAGCCACCGUACAUAAUGUCGGGGCCUCGGUACUAUACGCCGGUUUGGUGGAAAAAAGCUCCUUUAUUCUAAUCCAGAAGAUGCUUUUAUAUGAUCUUUGGACAUAUGGUAUAGCUUGUUCUAAAUGUAAGAUUAGAGCAUAAUUUUCCAAGCAUCGCGACUGUCAUAUAAUUAAUAUAUGAA